CCUGCCCGGGGGUGGACCCCCACGGCGGGGCGGUGGUCCCCGAAGAAGCUACGAGGUGGGGAGGACCCGCCUCCCGCCCGCACGGAUGGAUGUUCGGGAUAAGCUGCAGGGCAAGUCCGCCCACGGGCGCGCGGCGGGCAAGGAGCAGUGCGGGUGCCGGGGUGCCGGGAUCCCCGGAAACCCAGACAGAAGGGGCAGCCGUGCUGAGGGUCGGGAUUCUGCGGACCGGGAGGCGGAAAUCGGCCCCCUGACGUGACCCCGGGCCGGGCGAGUGGGACGCGGGCGGCGGUCCACUGCUGGGCGAGGAGCGCUGGACUCAAGGCAGGCCUUUUCUCUCCUGGGCAUGUCUCCUGGGAUUUGAGAACCCAGCCCGACUUCAUCCAGAAGGUGAAAGGAGCCCUCUUCCCCAUGAACCUCUCCAUCACAUCACCACUUCACAGAGAGAGAACUCUGGGCUCAAUUCGCUUGCUUUUUAAUAACCGAACAGGAAAGAACACAGUGCCUGGGAGCGGGCGUGGGGGACAGGCUUUGGGGGUUCUUGUGAGAGGGACAGGUUGAGAUGGGAAGCCGAGGGCACUGUUAAUGCCUCAUUCAGAGGAUGGGAAAGGAAGUUGGGAGAGGCUAAGGAAAGAAAUGCCUUGAUGUCAGAACUGGGGUAGAUUCCAGCCAGGAGAACUAGUCGUGGGUCCCCGAAGCAGCGGCAGCACGUGGGCACCAUGGUUUCUCCUUACUCCUCAGACGGCAGCUCCAUUCCCCAAGGGUUGCAGAGGGGGUUUCUGUGGGCUAUGACAGUGCUGUAGGAGGCCAGAGAGCUCAGCUGCCUGGAGAAACAAGACCCCUCCUGGCCCAAGGGACUCCAGGGAGACCAAAGCAGCUGUUCGGAUGAGAGAAAUUGAAAAAAGAAUAAAAGAAUGGAAAAGUAGGUCUCUCUCCAGAUUUCCUAGUUCCCAAA